GUCUUGUAGAGGGGGGUAGAAUUCCAGGUGUAGCGGUGAAAUGCGUAGAGAUCUGGAGGAAUACCGGUGGCGAAGGCGGCCCCCUGGACAAAGACUGACGCUCAGGUGCGAAAGCGUGGGGAGCAAACAGGAUUAGAUACCCUGGUAGUCCACGCCGUAAACGAUGUCUACUUGGAGGUUGUGCCCUUGAGGCGUGGCUUCCGGAGCUAACGCGUUAAGUAGACCGCCUGGGGAGUACGGCCGCAAGGUUAAAACUCAAAUGAAUUGACGGGGGCCCGCACAAGCGGUGGAGCAUGUGGUUUAAUUCGAUGCAACGCGAAGAACCUUACCUGGUCUUGACAUCCACAGAACUUUCCAGAGAUGGAUUGGUGCCUUCGGGAACUGUGAGACAGGUGCUGCAUGGCUGUCGUCAGCUCGUGUUGUGAAAUGUUGGGUUAAGUCCCGCAACGAGCGCAAC
rnacentral:rRNA from 2 species